rnacentral:rRNA from 1 species
UACGUAGGGUGCGAGCGUUGUCCGGAAUUAUUGGGCGUAAAGGGCUCGUAGGCGGUUUGUCGCGUCGGGAGUGAAAACCUUGGGCUUAACUCAGGGCUUGCUUUCGAUACGGGCAGACUAGAGGUAUGCAGGGGAGAACGGAAUUCCUGGUGUAGCGGUGAAAUGCGCAGAUAUCAGGAGGAACACCGGUGGCGAAGGCGGUUCUCUGGGCCUUACCUGACGCUCAGGUGCGAAAGCUAGGGGAGCGAACAGG